AGUGAACGCUGGCGGUAGGCCUAACACAUGCAAGUCGAACGGCAGCACAGUAAGAGCUUGCUCUUACGGGUGGCGAGUGGCGGACGGGUGAGGAAUACAUCGGAAUCUACUUUUUCGUGGGGGAUAACGUAGGGACACUUACGCUAAUACCGCAUACGACCUACGGGUGAAAGCGGGGGAUCUUCGGACCUUGCGCGAUUGAAUGAGCCGAUGUCGGAUUAGCUAGUUGGCGGGGUAAAGGCCCACCAAGGCGACGAUCCGUAGCUGGUCUGAGAGGAUGAUCAGCCACACUGGAACUGAGACACGGUCCAGACUCCUACGGGAGGCAGCAGUGGGGAAUAUUGGACAAAGGGCGCAAGCCUGAUCCAGCCAUACCGCGUGUGUGAAGAAGGCCUUCGGGUUGUAAAGCCCUUUUGUUGGGAAAGAAAAGCAGCAGGUUAAUACCCCGCUGUUCUGACGGUACCCAAAGAAUAAGCACCGGCUAACUUCGUG
rnacentral:rRNA from 1 species